rnacentral:rRNA from 1 species
CCUACGGGCGGCAGCAGUGAGGAAUAUUGGUCAAUGGGCGGAAGCCUGAACCAGCCAAGUCGCGUGAGGGACUAAGGCCCUACGGGUCGUAAACCUCUUUUGUCGGGGAGCAAAAGACGCCACGCGUGGCGUUCCGAGAGUACCCGAAGAAAAAGCAUCGGCUAACUCCGUGCCAGCAGCCGCGGUAAUACGGAGGAUGCGAGCGUUAUCCGGAUUUAUUGGGUUUAAAGGGUGCGCAGGCGGAAGGUCAAGUCAGCGGUAAAAUUGGGAGGCUCAACCUCUUCGAGCCGUUGAAACUGGUUGUCUUGAGUGAGUGAGAGGUAUGCGGAAUGCGUGGUGUAGCGGUGAAAUGCAUAGAUAUCACGCAGAACUCCGAUUGCGAAGGCAGCAUACCGGCGCUCAACUGACGCUCAUGCACGAAAGUGUGGGUAUCGAACAGGAUUAGAUACCCCUGUAGUC